AGGAUAAACGCUGGCGGCGUGCCUAACACAUGCAAGUCGAACGCCCUACGCAAGUAGGGAGUGGCGGACGGGUGAGGAACACGUGGGUAAUCUGCCCUUCGGUGAGGAAUACCGGCGAGAAAUCGCCGACAAUACCGCAUACGUUUCACGGAAGUGAAAGAAAGUCGUAAGACGCCGAGGGAUGAGCCUGCGCCCGAUUAGUUUGUUGGUGGGGUAAAAGCCUACCAAGACUACAAUCGGUAGCUGGUCUGAGAGGACGAUCAGCCACACUGGGAUUGAGAACGGCCCAGACUCCUACGGGGGGCAGCAGUGAGGAAUUUUCGUCAAUGGGGGCAACCCUGAACGAGCAACGCCGCGUGCAGGAAGAAGGUUUUCGGAUCGUAAACUGCUUUUCUGUGGGAAGAGAACGGACGGUACCACAGGAAGAGCCCCGGCUAACUACGCGCCAGCAGCCGC
rnacentral:rRNA from 1 species